rnacentral:rRNA from 1 species
UACGAGGGGUGCAAGCGUUGCUCGGAAUUAUUGGGCGUAAAGGGCGCGUAGGCGGGCUGCCGCGUCCGGGGUGAAAUCCCACGGCUCAACCGUGGAACGGCCUCGGAUACGGGCGGUCUCGAGGGAGGUAGGGGCACGCGGAACUGUGGGGUGGAGCGGUUGAAAUGCGUUGAUAUCCACAGGAACGUCCGGUGGCGAAGGCGGCGGUGCUGGACCUCAUCUGACGCUGAGGCGCGAAAGCCAGGGGAGCAAACGGG